AUCUUAGUGCGCUCUGUGUAAAGGAGGAGUCUUGUGAGGGAGCCUUCUUCUUGGUGGAGAGAGAGAUAGGGAGAGCAAGAAGAAGAAGGGGAUGGCGAUGGCGCCGCCGCGUCUGCUGCGGGGCCUCAUCGCGCCGCUGUCGCCGUGCCACCAGCAGCUGCUGACCUCCGCCGCCCUCCUGCACCGCUGGUGGCUGGCGCGCCUCCGCUGCUCCGACGGAUUCAAGCUCUUCCUCGUCGUCCUCCUCGUCUCCGCCGCCCUCGCCGAGGUCCGCUACGUCGCCUCCGCGUCCAUGGCGCCCACCCUCCGCACCGGCGACCGCGCCGUCGCAGAAAAGGUGAGCUACAUGUUCCGGCGGCCGUCUGUGGGCGACAUUGUCUUCUUCAGGGUGCCCACGGCGCUGCAGAACUGCGGCAUAAAUAAGGAUGUUGUAUUUGUUAAGAGGGUUAUUGCCACCCCUGGAGAUUUCAUCCAGGUUCGACAAGGCCAGCUUAUUGUUAACGGUGUUGCGCAGAACGAACACUACACCGCACCCCAUGCGUCGUCGUACACGAUGGAAGCCAUGGUCCACAGAUACUUGUAUGACCAUUGCUACUACACAAACAAAUGACCAUACUGCUACUGCUACUGCAAGAGGAGGACCAAAAGUGGCAUGGCUGCUCCGUGUUGUUGACUUCCUGAGUACCCCCCAUUUUUCUUUUGAGAUGAAAUGACGGGUCUCAGAUGGUGGAUGAUCUCUCCCUCCAAUCCUAUUCUCGCUGUCUGCUCAAUUCUAUUCCCGAAUCCAUCUGGUACUAAGACUAUCCAUCGUCCUGCAGCGCCUCCCUCAAGGCCAUGUGUUCGCCAUGGGUGAUAACCGUAAUACCAGCUGUGAUUCUCGUGCCUGGGGACCUCUUCCUAUCAGCAACAUUCUUGGGAGAUACAUGAUGUCCUUCACAAGGUCGUCCCUCCAAUAACCAUUGCGAAGAGCUUCGAUGACCACCGGCGUUGCCGAAGAACCCCCUGAUGCCACUCGAUACGAUGUUAUCGAGCUAUGUUGAACCUCGAGCCCUACUUAGUAUGUAGAUCCACGAGACCUUUUUGCGCAGUGUGAUGUAGCGCUGUCUGUGUAGUAGUACUUAAUCCUGGGAAGAACUACGUAGUGACCUUGAUGGUAGCUGUUGUCACUCACCCCUGGGCUGCUGUCAGGUGUUAGUUAGGCCUGCUACUUGUUGGUAGAACCUGCAAAAUGUGCCUAAAGGUUACACCUUCUAGUAACCUUGAUGUCGAAUCCCAUCGGUAACGUUUUAUUGUGUACCGUGUGCCUGACAUUCAGAAGUUUGCAAUGAAUCAUUGUGGUGGUUCCUUGCUGCAUGUAAAUAAAUUUGUAAUGUUAGCAUACAGCUCUGUCACCAAGGAUGAUAUGUUAAGUCUCUUGUGUAUGCUGUUGAUGUAGUGAAUAGUGGCUGAUAAUACAGGUUGUGUUCUGAUA